AUGCCGCCGCCGCUGGCGUGCUCCCUGCCCCCGCCGCCGCCGCUCUUGUCCUUGCCGCCGCCGGCCGACCCCUCGAUGGACACCUGCAUGCCGUGGGCGAGCAGGUUCCUACACCACGUCACGGUGACCAGCCGGCUCUGCUCGGAGAUCACCGCGCGGUACACCAGCGUCACGGCGCUCUGCCCCGACCUGGUCGCCGGCGCCGCGGACGCCGGCGCGUCCGGCAGCUGCUUCUCGCCGGACGAGAAGCAGGAGGGCACCGAGAACAGGUCCUGCAUCCUGUCUGCCCCUCACUAUCUACGACGAACUGAGAGACACGAGAGGAUGGAUGAGUGGAUCGAUGAUGGGCUAGCAAGGAAGGCUACUAUACAUAGGCGGCGGCGCGGGGGUGGGGGAGCGCCAUGGAUCCAUGCAACAGCGGAGCCGGCAUGA
rnacentral:rRNA from 1 species